rnacentral:rRNA from 1 species
GACGAACGCUGGCGGCGUGCUUAACACAUGCAAGUCGAACGGAAAGGCCCUGCUUUUGUGGGGUGCUCGAGUGGCGAACGGGUGAGUAACACGUGAGUAACCUGCCCUUGACUUUGGGAUAACUUCAGGAAACUGGGGCUCAUACCGGAUAGGAGCUCCUGCUGCAUGGUGGGGGUUGGAAAGUUUCGGCGGUUGGGGAUGGAAUCGCGGCUUAUCAGCUUGUUGGUGGGGUAGUGGCUUACCAAGGCUUUGACGGGUAGCCGGCCUGAGAGGGUGACCGGCCACAUUGGGACUGAGAGACGCCGCAGACUCCUACGGGAGGCAGCAGUGGGGAAUAUGGCACAAUGGGCGGAAGCCUGAUGCAGCAACGCCGCGUGCGUGAUGACGGCCUUCGGGUUGUAAACCGCUUUCGCCUGUGACGAAGCGUGAGUGACGGUAAUGGGUAAAGAAGCACCGGCUAACUACGUG